GUGCGGUAAGAGCGCACCAGCAGCAUCGAGAGGUGCUGGCUCGGUAAACCCCGGUUGGAAGCAAGGUCGAAGGAGCAACGGUUGGUCUUUUACCGGCUCCGAGGUGGGGAAACCUACCUGCCAAUCCGCUUGAGGUGUUUGGUAACAAACAUCCUAGAUAGAUAACCGCCCUGUUUGACCAUCGGGUCACACCGAUGGUCAAAGAGAACAGAACCCGGCUUACGUCCGCCUCUUCCU
rnacentral:RNase_P_RNA from 1 species